rnacentral:rRNA from 1 species
AAAACAAAGAGUUUGAUCCUGGCUCAGAUUGAACGCUGGCGGCAGGCCUAACACAUGCAAGUCGAGCGGUAGCACAGAGAGCUUGCUCUCGGGUGACGAGCGGCGGACGGGUGAGUAAUGUCUGGGAAACUGCCUGAUGGAGGGGGGAUAACUACUGGAAACGGUAGCUAAUACCGCAUAACGUCGCAAGACCAAAGUGGGGGACCUUCGGGCCUCAUGCCAUCAGAUGUGCCCAGAUGGGAUUAGCUAGUAGGUGGGGUAAUGGCUCACCUAGGCGACGAUCCCUAGCUGGGUCUGAGAGGAUGACCAGCCACACUGGAACUGAGACACGGUCCAGACUCCUACGGGAGCAGCAGUGGGAAU